rnacentral:rRNA from 1 species
UACGUAGGGUGCGAGCGUUGUCCGGAAUUAUUGGGCGUAAAGGGCUCGUAGGCGGUCUGUCGCGUCGAAAGUGAAAACUCAGGGCUUAACCCUGAGCCUGCUUCCGAUACGGGCAGACUAGAGGUAUGCAGGGGAGAACGGAAUUCCUGGUGUAGCGGUGAAAUGCGCAGAUAUCAGGAGGAACACCAGCGGCGAAGGCAGCUCGCUGGGACGUUACUGACGCUGAGACGCGAAAGCGUGGGGAGCAAACAGG